AUGAGCCCAACACGUUGGGUUUCGGUGGGGACCACGCAAGGCAUCAAGCCCAAAGCAGGUUGGGAUCUGGUUGGUGCCACCAGGAGCACCCAGACGCUGGUAGGACGGGAUCCUGUUAGUGCCACCCAAACCGAUGGGUGGCACCCACGGCCCAAAGCAGGGCAAGACUCAGCCCCCACCAUGGUACUCCCAGUAGGUGCUACCACGUGGAGGAACCACCACGUGGGAGGACCAGGUCCAGAGGGGACCAUAAGGAGCACUCAUCCUGCAGCAGUGCUGGAUCUGGGUGGUACCAUGGGGAGCGCAUAUCCCACAGCAGAACUGGGUCCUGAAGGUCACAUCGGGGUCACACAUCGUCCAACAAGACUGGAUCCAGAAGGCAGCACACGGAGUGCACGUCCUGAAGCAGAACUGGGCCUGGAUGAUACUGUAUGGAGCACACGUCCCACAGCAGAACUAGGGCCAGGUGGUACCACCUGGGAUCCACGUCCUUCAGCAAGACCAGGUCCUGAAGGCCCCAUGAGGAGCACACGUCCUAUGGGUGCAGAACUGGGUGCAGAAGGUACCAUGAGAACACGUCCUGUGUCAGAACUAAAUCUGAACAGUACCCAGAGGGGUUCUUCAGCAGAACCAGAUCCUAGAGGCAGCACACAUCCUUCAGCAGAACCAGGGCCAGAAAGUACCAUGUGGAGCACACAUCCUUCAGCAGAACCAGGGCCAGAAAGUACCAUGUGGAGCACACAUCCAACAGAAGAACCGGGUCCAGAAGAUACCACGAGGAUCACACAUCCCACAGCAGAACCAGGUCCAGGAGGUAACACGUGGAGCACAAAUCCCACAGUAGAACCAGGUCCAGAAGGUACCAUGAGGAUCACACAUCCCACAGCAAGACCAGGUCCAGGAGGUACCACGUGGAGCACAAAUCCCACAGUAGAACUAGGUCUAGAAGAUACCAUGAUGAGCACCCAUCCUACAGCAGAACCAGAUACAGAUGGUGCCAUGUGGCACACGCAUCCAACAGCAGAACCAGGUCCAGAAGAUACCAUGACAAACACAUAUCCCACAGCAGAACCAGGCCCAGGAGGUAUCAUGAUGAACACACAUCCCACAGCAGAACCAGGUCCAGGAGCUACCAUGAGGAGCACGCAUCCCACAGCAGGACUGGAUCCUGAAGACAACACACAGAGCACAAGUCCUGCAGCAGAAUUGGGCCUGUUUGAUAUCAUAUGGGGCACACAUCCCACAGCAGAACCAGGUCCAGGAGGUACCACAUUGGGUGUUGAACUGGAUACAGAAAGUACCAUGAGGAGCACACAUCCUGCAGCAGAACUGGGUCCAGAAAGUACCAUGAGGAGCACACAUCUUCCAGAAGAACUGGGUCCAGAAGGUACCACAUGGAGCACACAUCCUCCAGAAGAACCAGGUCUACAUGGCACCUCGCAGAGUGCACAUUCUUCGGCAGAACUGGGCUUGGCUGAUACCUUACAAAGUGCCCGUCCCACAGCAGUUGUUCCCACGUGGAGCACACACCCUUCAACAGAACCAAAUCCAGACAGGACCAUGAGGAGCUCUCAUCCUGCAACAGCAUCAGGUCUAGAUGGUACUACGUGGGGGACCAAUUCUUCAGAUGAUUUUGAUCUCAAUGGAACCACGAGGAGCACACAUCCUUCAGCAGAAGCAGGUCUAGAAGGCACCAUGGAGAGUACACAUCCCAAAUCAGAACCAGGCCCAGAAGGUACCGUUUGGAGCACACAUCCCACAACAAGCCCAGAUCCAGAAGGUGCUGGCGCAGGCUUGGGCCUCACUGGGGUCUCUGUGCCCCCCACCACAUCUCCAUCACCCCCCUCAUCUCUGCCCCCCACCCUGUGGCCAGCCAGCCCCCCUGCCCUUGCAGUCCAACAGGGUCCUGGCUCCCAGCGCCCCACAGAGCCCCCCAGCACCCAGGAGCCACCAGCACCCAGCCAGUACCCAGAGGAGACCCCCAGCACCCACGGACCCCUAGAACCCACCCAGAGCUCCCCAGGGAACCCCAGCACCCAGGGACUCGCAGCACCCACCCAGAGGCCCGAGGGGACCCCCAACACCCAGGGACCCCCAGCACAUACCCAACACGCUGUGGAGACACCCCCUGCCUGGAUGGAGCUUGUGCUCCACCAGCACCCCCCUGCAGAGCCCCCCAGCUCCUGGAUGCCCCCAGUCCCCUUUACCCAGACCCCACCAAGGACCCACAGCCCCCAGAGCCCCCCAGCACUCACCGUGCUCCCCCCAGGUGCCACCAGCCCUUACACGCUUGCUGCCCCCUCAGAGCAUCCCAUGGAGCCCCCCAUCUCCCAGAGCCCCCCAGCAUCCCCUCAGCACCCCGUGAAGUUGCUUGGCACCCCAACCCCCCCAGCACCCCUCCAGAACCUCACUGACACCCACAGCUCCAAGAGCCCCUCAGCACCCCUCCAGUAUCCAACAGAGCCCCCCAGCACCUGGACCCCCCCAGCACGCACCCAGCACCCCACAGGGACUUUUGACACCCACACCCACCCAGCACUCCCCCAGCAAUCCCCAGAGCCUCCCAGCACCCAGGGCCCACCAGCACCCCCACAGCAUUCUGUGGAGACCUUCAGCACCCAGGGACCCCCAGCACCCCCCCAGCACACCAAAAAGUUGCUCAUCACCCAGAGGACCCCCCCAUACUCCCAGCACCCUGUGGAGACCCUUGGCACCCAGCAACCCCCAAUCCCUCCCCAGCAUCCUGUGGAGACCCUUGGCACCCAGGGACCCCCAUUACUCCCCCAGCACCCUAUGGAGACCCUUGGCACCCAAGGACCCCCAGAACCCCCCCAGCACCCUAUGGAGACCCUUGGCACCCAGACCCUUCCAGUACCCACAGAGCUCCUCCACAUCCCCCCUGACAGCCCCAUGCUGCCUGGGCCCCCAUGUGCAGGUAGGUCUAUGGGAUGGGAUGGGAGGGGGCAGCAGUUCUUGCCUGGGACCCCUGAGAUGGGCUUGGGAGGGCUCCCAGUGCUGGGGGGUUGUUGAGGGGCGUGGGACUGGGGGGGGCACAAUGACACACACUGUGUCUCUGCUUCUCUCCCCACAGGUCCAGCUCCAGCAGCAGUGCCAACAGCCCCCUCAGUGGGGGGCCAGGGGGGUCCCUGCAUGGCCCCCCUGCUGCGGGUGCUGCUGUGGGAGGUGCGGGGGCUGCGGGGGCAGCUGCGGGCCCUGGCGCGUGCCCAGCGGCGGGGGGCUCAGCGCCUGGAGGCUGUUGCCCGCCGCCUGGGCCGGCUGUCUGCCCUCGGCCAGCACCUCCUGGGGGCCCCCCCCCAGCUCUAUGGGGCCAUGGGCACCCGGGGGGGUCUUUGUAGGGGCUGCAAGUGAAAUAAAGCCGGGCUGGUUCCCCAAAUCCUCUCGAGCAUUGUUUUUUUUUUUUUUUGGGGGGGGGGGGGUAUGGGGACUGCACCCACUGUGGUCCUGGGGAGGGGGUGUUGGGCACCCCCCAGCCUGCUG
rnacentral:lncRNA from 1 species